rnacentral:rRNA from 1 species
UGGGGAAUAUUGGGCAAUGGGGGAAACCCUGACCCAGCAACGCCGCGUGAAGGAAGAAGGCUUUCGGGUUGUAAACUUCUUUUACCAGGGACGAAGAAAGUGACGGUACCUGGAGAAAAAGCCACGGCUAACUACGUGCCAGCAGCCGCGGUAAUACGUAGGUGGCAAGCGUUGUCCGGAUUUACUGGGUGUAAAGGGCGUGUAGGCGGAGGAUCAAGUCAGAUGUGAAAUCUAGGGGCUUAACCCCUAAACUGCAUUUGAAACUGACCCCCUUGAGUAUCGGAGAGGCAGGCGGAAUUCCUAGUGUAGCGGUGAAAUGCGUAGAUAUUAGGAGGAACACCAGUGGCGAAGGCGGCCUGCUGGACGACAACUGACGCUGAGGCGCGAAAGCGUGGGGAGCAAACAGG